CCACCUCCGCCGCGCCCCCAUGGCCGCCGCCCGGGCUGUGCCGGUGGAACUGGGCUUCGCCGAGGAGGCGCCGCUGUGGAGGCUGCGCAGCGAGCAGUUCCCCAGCAAGGUGGGCGGGCGGCCGGCGUGGCUAGGUGCAGCCGGACUGCCGGGGCCCGGCGACCUAGCCUGCGCGUCCUGCGGCCGUCCGCUCUCCUUUCUGCUGCAGGUGUACGCGCCGCUGCCCGGCCGCGCCGACGCUUUCCACCGCGGUCUGUUCCUCUUCUGCUGCCGCGAGCCGCCGUGCUGCGCCGGCCUGCGAGUUUUUAGGAACCAGCUACCCAGGAAAAAUGACUUUUACUCCUAUGAGCCACCUUCUGAGAACCCUCCCCUAGAAACAGGAGAAUCAGUGUGUCUCCAACUUAAGACUGGCGCCCAUCUCUGCAGGGUUUGUGGUUGUUUAGGUCCCAAAACAUGCUCCAGAUGCCACAAGGCACAUUACUGCAGUAAGGAACAUCAGCUCCUCGACUGGAGAUUGGGACAUAAACAGGGGUGUACACAACCAGAUUAUCGGGACCAUACAGUUCCAGACCACAACUUCCUGUUUCCAGAAUUUGAAAUUGUAACAGAAACAGAAGAUGAGAUUACACCUGAAGUUGUGGAAAAGGAAGAUGCCUCAGAGAUUAUAGGGAGCAUGGAUUCUCAGAUACGGCAGAGGAAUUGCCCCCAUCUGGAUUUCUGGUGAAAAUAUUCCUCAAGAAAAGGAUAUUCCAGAUUGCCCCUGUGGUGCCAAGCGAAUAUUUGAAUUCCAGGUCAUGCCUCAGCUGCUGAACUACCUGAAGGCUGACAGGCUAGGCAGGAGCAUUGACUGGGGCGUCCUGGCUGUCUUCACCUGUGCUGAGAGCUGCGGUUUGGGUACUGGCUACACAGAGGAAUUUGUGUGGAAGCAGGAUGUAACAGAUAUACCAUAAAGCAUCCUAAUGCCUUAAAAAUGUUAAUAGUCUUUUGUGCCUUGCAUUUCCAUUUCUAGGACUUUAUCCUAAGGAAGUAAUUAUUCCACAAAUAGAAGUACAGAGAUGUUGCUUGAGGCAUUGUUUACAGUAUCUAAAUAUCAGUAAAACAAAAAUGUCCAGUGACAGGGAAUUAAAUAAAUUUUGGUACAUCCGUAGUAUUAAUUAUACACACACACACCUUAUGGACACCAAAUUAGAUACACAUCCAUACUGACACCAGAUAUCAUUAUAGGUGAUAUCCAUGGUAUGACCAUAUUUUUGUUAAAAUACACAUUUAUAUGUACAGAGAAACAAAUCUGUAAAGAUGCACACUAAAUAUGAACUGGUUACCUGUAAAUGGUGGGACUAAGUGAAAGGAUCUUUUUACUUAUGUUUAUUUCUUUCUAUAAUAAAAACGAGUUAUGUGCCUAA